GUGUUCCCUAGAGUUCCCUUGACCGCUUCAUUAGGGCUUACUUGUUGUUUGAUGCCCUGCUGAAGUGUUUGGGGGAACUCCUGGGCUCAC
rfam:Solanum tuberosum cultivar DM 1-3 516 R44 scf01045_2, whole genome shotgun sequence.